AUACUUUCGUCUCGUUGGUGACAGCGGAGGGUCAUUACAGAGUUGCAAAACUCCCUAAACCAUUGUGAACGUUACCUAUACCGUUGCUUCGGCGGGCGGCCCCGGGGUUUACCCCCCGGGCGCCCCUGGGCCCCACCGCGGGCGCCCGCCGGAGGUCACCAAACUCUUGAUAAUUUAUGGCCUCUCUGAGUCUUCUGUACUGAAUAAGUCAAAACUUUCAACAACGGAUCUCUUGGUUCUGGCAUCGAUGAAGAACGCAGCGAAAUGCGAUAAGUAAUGUGAAUUGCAGAAUUCAGUGAAUCAUCGAAUCUUUGAACGCACAUUGCGCCCGCCAGCAUUCUGGCGGGCAUGCCUGUUCGAGCGUCAUUUCAACCAUCAAGCCCCCGGGCUUGUGUUGGGGACCUGCGGCUGCCGCAGGCCCUGAAAAGCAGUGGCGGGCUCGCUGUCGCACCGAGCGUAGUAGCAUACAUCUCGCUCUGGUCGCGCCGCGGGUUCCGGCCGUUAAACCACCUUUUAACCCAAGGUUGACCUCGGAUCAGGUAGGAAGACCCGCUGAACUUAAGCAUACA
rnacentral:rRNA from 1 species